rnacentral:lncRNA from 1 species
GAAAAAGAUUGCUACUAAUUUUGCGUCCAUUUAACGCUAAACGUGUCAAUUCAUCCACGCACACUUGAGUUAAAAUAUUGGUCCACCAUUGGGGCAAUGCCAAAUUCAAAAUUGGGUGGGCGCAAAAACUCAUCUAUAGCAGAUAAUUUUUACUGACAUUCAAGAACAACAACAAUUUGCAUCUGUACUUACAAAUUGAGUUAAUUUCCUCAUCCAUCCAUAUAAGAUAUCCUACACACAGUAAAAUGCAAUUCAAGGCUGUCCAACGGGUUUGGUUUAUGUGCGUAUUUUGAGUUUCUCUGACACAGAACAUAAGAAAAGAAGAAAAGCUUUACGUAGGCCUUCAUCAAACCAUUUCUGAACAUAGAUUCAGUUCUCAAGGUUCAGAGGAGCCAUAUACUGAAGUUCCGGUUGAAGCUCAUGCAUCUUGAUCAAAACCACGGGAAGCAGCUGUGAAUGAUUUUCUGGAGUGGAGAUAAAAAUCGAAAUAAACAACAAAACAUUUAUCAGCUUCAGAAAUAAAUUGAAGCCACUGCUUAGUCCAGGAAACAUUGAAAGAAGACAUCGAUUUACAAUUCUUUCUGAUAUCAAUCAUCUUCAUCACUUCCAUAUUGUUGGCAUAAUGACUGCAAUCCACUGCUUGCAACAGUGGUCGGUCCUGCCUCCUGAUUCUUUGGCUUCUCCUUUGCUGGCUUGUUAUUAGUGGAAUCUGGACGUGGUUUCUUAAGAAUUGAAAGAGUGACUGUUGAAGACUUGAACAUGAAUUUGCCAUUAUCAGAAGCCCCAGAAAUCUGCAUAUUAUCUGCGACCACCACAACAGUGGUCUGUUCAGUGUUUCAGAAACAUAUAGCAUUUAACAUAAUGUGGCCAUCUCAAAGCCGGCAAUGUAU